rnacentral:rRNA from 1 species
UACGUAGGGGGCUAGCGUUGUCCGGAAUCAUUGGGCGUAAAGAGCGUGUAGGCGGUCCGGUAAGUCCGCUGUGAAAGUCGGGGGCUCAACCCUCGAAUGCCGGUGGAUACUGUCGGGCUAGAGUGCGGAAGAGGCGAGUGGAAUUCCUGGUGUAGCGGUGAAAUGCGCAGAUAUCAGGAGGAACACCAACGGCGAAGGCAGCUUGCUGGGACGUUACUGACGCUGAGACGCGAAAGCGUGGGGAGCAAACAGG